rnacentral:rRNA from 1 species
AGCGGCGGACGGGUGAGUAAUGCCUAGGAAUCUGCCUGGUAGUGGGGGAUAACGUNCGGAAACGGACGCUAAUACCGCAUACGUCCUACGGGAGAAAGCAGGGGACCUUCGGGCCUUGCGCUAUCAGAUGAGCCUAGGUCGGAUUAGCUAGUUGGUGAGGUAAUGGCUCACCAAGGCGACGAUCCGUAACUGGUCUGAGAGGAUGAUCAGUCACACUGGAACUGAGACNCGGUCCAGACUCCUACGGGAGGCAGCAGUGGGGAAUAUUGGACAAUGGGCGAAAGCCUGAUCCAGCCAUGCCGCGUGUGUGAANAAGGUCUUCGGAUUGUAAAGCACUUUAAGUUGGGAGGAAGGGUACUUACCUAAUACGUGAGUAUUUUGACGUUACCGACAGAAUAAGCACCGGCUAACUCUGUGCCAGCAGCCGCGGUAAUACAGAGGGUGCAAGCGUUAAUCGGAAUUACUGGGCGUAAAGCGCGCGUAGGUGGUUCGUUAAGUUGGAUGUGAAAUCCCCGGGCUCAACCUGGGAACUGCAUCCAAAACUGGCGAGCUAGAGUAUGGUAGAGGGUGGUGGAAUUUUCCUGUGUAUCGGUGAAAUGCGUAUAUAUAUGA